UGCAUGACCAGGCAUACAGCCAGCAGACACUGGCAUUUCACCAAAUACCUGCUGUCAGCUCCACUGUUGGAACUGUGUGUAUGAUAAACAGCAACAAGCUCUCAGUUCUCCUGACCAUUCUCCAAGCAGCAAGCAUGAAGGAGCUUUGGCAUGCUGGAGACUCAUUCUCCCCCUCUUUUUCUCCUAUGACUGUAACUACAGGUGUUUAUUUGCCACCUGUCUUUUCUGUCAGCUACUUUUCAGGAUGCCAUAAACCAGC